rnacentral:rRNA from 1 species
AACGAACGCUGGCGGCAUGCCUAACACAUGCAAGUCGAACGAGACCUUCGGGUCUAGUGGCGCACGGGUGCGUAACGCGUGGGAACCUGCCCUUAGGUUCGGAAUAACUCCCCGAAAGGGGUGCUAAUACCGGAUAAUGUCUUCGGAGCAAAGAUUUAUCGCCUUUGGAUGGGCCCGCGUUGGAUUAGCUAGUUGGUAGGGUAAAAGCCUACCAAGGCGACGAUCCAUAGCUGGUCUGAGAGGAUGAUAAGCCACACUGGGAAUGAGACACGGCCCAGAAUCCUACGGGAGGCAGCAGUGGGGAAUAUUGGACAAGGGGCGAAAGCCUGAUCAAGCAGUGCCGCGUGAGUGAUGAAGGGCUUAGGGUUGUAAAGCUCUUUUAGACGGGAUGAUAAUGACAGUAACGGGAGAAUAAGCACCGGCUAACUCCGUG